rnacentral:rRNA from 1 species
UGGCUCAGAGCGAACGCUGGCGGCAGGCUUAACACAUGCAAGUCGAGCGGGCAUAGCAAUAUGUCAGCGGCAGACGGGUGAGUAACGCGUGGGAACGUACCUUUUGGUUCGGAACAACACAGGGAAACUUGUGCUAAUACCGGAUAAGCCCUUACGGGGAAAGAUUUAUCGCCGAAAGAUCGGCCCGCGUCUGAUUAGCUAGUUGGUGAGGUAAUGGCUCACCAAGGCGACGAUCAGUAGCUGGUCUGAGAGGAUGAUCAGCCACAUUGGGACUGAGACACGGCCCAAACUCCUACGGGAGGCAGCAGUGGGGAAUAUUGGACAAUGGGCGCAAGCCUGAUCCAGCCAUGCCGCGUGAGUGAUGAAGGCCCUAGGGUUGUAAAGCUCUUUUGUGCGGGAAGAUAAU